rnacentral:tRNA from 1 species
GGCGGGAUGGCAGAGUGGUAAUGCAGCGGCCUGCAAAGCCGCCAACAUCGGUUCAAUUCCGGUUCCCGCCUCCA